UAUUAACUUGAUAAUUAUUAUACCCCUGAGAGGAGGUGAAUUUAAAUGAAAAAAUAAAUAGAAAAUGUAGAAUAACAUUUUUUCGUACAAGGAUUUUUGCGGAUAAAUUUAUAAUUUACAAUUCAGUUUUGUCAUAAUGUCGAUAUGGUUACAUACACAAUGGAAGACAAAAGUAUUUACAUAUAGUACAUAAAAUAGAAAUAUGGAAAUAAAAAUUAUUAUAUUUUUUAUACAUUAUUAAUUAUAUUGAUAUAUAUGUGAUUGUAUAUUGUAUUCUAACAUUAGUAAUAACAAUUAUGAAAAAAAAAAUAAAAGUUAACAACGCAAUUGUAAAAAGAAGUCAUUCAACAGUACAAAGUAUAGUGAAGAAAUUUAAUAAAGCAGGAAUAUUACAAGACAAAAAAAAGUGGUCGACCAAGAAAAUUGUCAUUGAAAGAAAAAUGAAUAAUUGUUCAAAUUAUUAAAAAUAAAGCAGACAUAAGUGCAGGAAAACAGGCAUAAGUGCAUCUGAAAUUGCAUCUGAAAUUCAAAAAUAUAGUCACACAGACCAGCCGGAAACCAUUCGACGAGUGCUCCAUCGAGCAGUGUAUAAAUUUAGAGUAACUAGGAAGAAACCAUUACUAAGUAAAGUAAAUAAACAAAAAAUAUUAAAAUUUUCUAAAAAAUAUAUAAAUAUUGAAACUGACUACUAGGAUAAUCGAGAGUAUACCGACAUGAUCCUCGUGUUAAGUGUAAAUGCAGGCAAUGCAUUUAUGACUACUGAAUACUAUAAAGAUCGUUAUCAAAAUCAUCGAUAUCCAGAUUGUAAAGUCAUUCAAAGAACUGAUCAAAUACGUGAGGAAAAUGGAUCUUUUAAAACACUUUGUUGGCACAGAAAAUUUCUAGAGAUAAAAACAAAUAUAGAGGAACAAGUUUUGUAAAAUAUAAAAAAUAACUCUAAUAUUAGUAUAAAAUUGUAUCUUAACUGCAUCUCAAUAUAAUGUUUGUAUAAAAA